rnacentral:rRNA from 1 species
UACGGAGGGGGCUAGCGUUGUUCGGAAUUACUGGGCGUAAAGCGUGCGUAGGCGGUUAUUUAAGUCGGAUGUGAAAGCCCCGGGCUCAACCUGGGAAUUGCAUUCGAGACUGAAUAGCUAGGGUGCGGUAGAGGGAAGCGGAAUUUCCGGUGUAGCGGUGAAAUGCGUAGAUAUCGGAAGGAACAUCAGUGGCGAAAGCGGCUUCCUGGACCAGCACCGACGUUCAGGCACGAAAGCGUGGGGAGCAAACAGG